rnacentral:hammerhead_ribozyme from 1 species
AUCCAGAUGACGAGUCCUAAACAGAAUGAAAUGCAUAUCAUGGAU